rnacentral:rRNA from 1 species
CCUACGGGAGGCAGCAGUAAGGAAUAUUGGUCAAUGGGCGCAAGCCUGAACCAGCCAUGCCGCGUGCAGGAAGACGGCCCUAUGGGUUGUAAACUGCUUUUGAACAAGAGAAAACCUCGGUACGUGUACCGAGCUGAUAGUAUUGUUAGAAUAAGCAUCGGCUAACUUCGUGCCAGCAGCCGCGGUAAGACGAAGGAUGCAAGCGUUAUCCGGAUUCAUUGGGUUUAAAGGGUGCGUAGGCGGCCUGAUAAGUCAGUGGUGAAAUCUCUCAGCUUAACUGAGAAACUGCCAUUGAUACUGUCGGGCUUGAGUACAGAUGAUGUGGGCGGAAUAUGACAUGUAGUGGUGAAAUACUUAGAUAUGUCAUAGAACACCGAUUGCGAAGGCAGCUCACAAAACUGUAACUGACGCUGAGGCACGAAAGUGCGGGGAUCAAACAGGAUUAGAUACCCUGGUAGUCCGCACCGUAAACGAUGAUUACUCGUUGUUGGCAAUAUGACCGUCAGCGACCAAGCGAAAGCGAUAAGUAAUCCACCUGGGGAGUACGCCGGCAACGGUGAAACUCAAAUGAAUUGACGGCGNGAGAGNGCGAGGACGACGACGAGGGAGGAGG